AUGUCCUCUCACUCUCACGUUAUUCCCCUCAGGUUUAUUACCGGAAUUUUACCGAUAGUUACGGCAAAGGUUAAAGGUUAUGGGUCAGAUGUCGUCACGAAGUGCAUCCCACUCAUUUAACUGUUUCUCCAUGCUACUGCACUUCCAUGGUUUGGAGUGCGUAGUCCCAAGCAUUGCCUGGAGUGCGUAUUCCGGAGCACGGUAGUGUGGAGCAUGGAAGUUUGCGGUUUGGGACACAGCCAAUCGCUCUCCUGGCUGGCUCGCCAAAUGAUUUCCUCUGUAACAAGUGUUUCAAUGCUAACACCGUUACUAGAAUGGAUAAAAUCAGGUAAGUAUGGACCAGAUCAGAAGACAACAGAUUCGACUCGAGAGAGAGGCGGUUUGCACAUCAAGAAUGAAGCACGCGGAAGCAGGAUCUAUAUGUCAAAGGUCAAUCACAUGGGUGGCUCGUCAGUCCGCACGCCGCUGUAGCUCUCCAGGGAAGGCAAGCAGGGGCAGAGGAAUCCAGGAUCCAGCACAGCAGUUCAAAUCGAACAACAAAAAACCAACACACACAAAAAAAAACCCGGCCUUGCAACACAAAGGCAGAAGACUCA